UACGUAGGGUGCAAGCGUUAAUCGGAAUUACUGGGCGUAAAGCGUGCGCAGGCGGUUCGCUAAGACAGAUGUGAAAUCCCCGGGCUUAACCUGGGAACUGCAUUUGUGACUGGCGGGCUAGAGUAUGGCAGAGGGGGGUAAAAUUCCACGUGUAGCAGUGAAAUGCGUAGAGAUGUGGAGGAAUACCGAUGGCGAAGGCAGCCCCCUGGGCCAAUACUGACGCUCAUGCACGAAAGCGUGGGGAGCAAACAGG
rnacentral:rRNA from 1 species